rnacentral:sRNA from 12 species
UUAAGAACUUAGGAGUCUAAAAGACACUGUGCACAGAACAGGUAGAGCAUAAAGAGCUGCAGGCUCCACCUUCCCCUGCUGCCCUCUGCCAAUAUUCCUCACCCUGAACUUGGCCACCUCAGAAAGCAAAAGUAGGAGUUCAUUCUCCAAGUCCCCUACAAUCCCUGCUGGC